UAGCUCAGUUGGAAGAGCAUUGGGCUAGCAUUCCAAAGGUCGUAGGUUCGAAUCCC
rnacentral:tRNA from 1 species